UGUUGAGUGGACCUUAAACUCCAUUUCUCUCUCUUAAGUCAAAAUCACCCUUGCUAACGAAUAUAUUAACUUUGUGAUGAUGUCCAUAGAUACAGUAUGCAUCACCAUAUUAUGCUAGUCCCAAAAUGACCUAGUUUGUGUCCAGUGGACUUUAAAUCUCAUUUUACUUUGUUCCUCUCAUGUGUAAAUCAUCCUUGCUAACGACUAAAUGGAAUAUAUUAAAUUUGUAAAGAUGUCCACACAUAUACUUCAUCUGGGGUAUUGAUAGACGGGACAUUUUAUCCUAAUUUUUGGUGUUUUUAAUAUAUUUCUCCUGUUUUUAUUAUGACUGUUCCGGUCAUUUUUAUUUUUUAUUUUGUUAGUAGGAAGGUUGCUAGUUGUGGGUAACAUUCAACUUCGGUCCUAGUCCCUGCAAAGAACGAGCUAUAGUCUGUACUCAAAUACAUGUAAUAUAAUUUGUUGAAGUCACUUGGUCAACUCGCAAACUAUAAUUAACAACCAAUUUACUCUCUUGAAACUUUUUUGGUCAUUAGCUGAAUUUUAAAUUCUAAAAUUCAGUGUAUAGCCUUAUAACAACUUGAAUUACGGUAUAUGUUAGUAUUAACAAGAAACUGAAGAGAAUGGCGCUGUCUUUUCACAGAUUCGAUUAAAGGCAAAAAGAUAAGUAUAAUACUUUAUCACUUCUUUACAAUAAUAUUAAAUUACAUAAGAUUUAUGCGAUUUUGUUAUUUACUUAAAGAUAGGUUCCCAGAAAAGUAUUUAUCAGGUGGUUAUUUCCAAUAAAAGUAUGACAAUUUUGGUAUAUAUGGAAAGUAGAGGUAUCCAAUCUUACUAGAAAAAUACUGGAUUCCCCGAAAAAUACUCAUGAAGCGUAUACAGGACAAAAAUGUCAGGGUUCCCCAUAUCGACAGUCCGGCGAUUAGGAAUAUCUGCACGCGUGACGUCAGAGGUUACACGCGGUGAUUGAGCCCUUGAUGUACAUGUUGAUAAACUUUAUGAAGAGUUAGACGUACAACACUUUCUGAGAUAAAAAUCACGGAAAAAGACGCAGGCAGUGGAUAAUCCGAGAAUUUAAUUAGGUUUUUAUAUUUGUAAUAAAUAGUCAGCGAUUAAAGACAACAUCGUCUUGUGUAUGCAAUGCAUUUACUAUUUUAGUGUAUACGUGUAGUCAGUGCCGGACUGGGGCCACCUGUCCACCUGUCCGUGACAGGUGGGCCUAAGCUCAUUAAAAAAAAGUGGGCCUAAGCCUAUAAACAAAAAAGAAAAAAGAGAAAGAAAGGAGAGGGGGGAGAAAAGAAAGAAAGAAGGAGCGGGCAGGACACAGGACUGGAGAAAGAAAUGAUUGGAAAAAAAUGACUGACAAACAACACAAAAAAAGAAGUGUACUAGAAUUCUCAAAUUCAUCUAAUGAUAGUGCUCUUAGGUCAUUCUGUUAUCUAAUUGUACCAGGAAAUCAAAAAUUUGCCUUCUUCUGCUUUGGUCUGAAAUGCUUGGAAAAUGGGUUUGCGGUUGACAAUUUUCAAACCUUUUCUGGGAGAAGAAGCCACCCAGACCCCCCUCGGACGUUUUCGCGCCUUUGGCACGCUCGUGACGCGCCGUCGGCGCGUACUUGUGUGGGUCUUGGUCAAUGACCUGACAGAGUCCAGCAGUGCAUGUAGUUAAGACCAUGCCUUCCACUUUGGAAUGGUGAAUGACUCAUGUCUUAUGUGCCUUACUACUGGAAUGACCCCUGUUAGCCCUGUACUGAAGUCAAAGGGCAUUCCCGAACUUAGGGUACUUCCACUGAACUCAGUGGCAUGUCUGGAAUUUUAUGCUUAUUCUGAUAGGCGACGGCCAAGGUUUGGAUAUCUUGAGAAUUUUCACUUGGUUUCCGGCUCUGGGUACACCAUAUAUUAAACCUUUCGAUAGUUGGAGAUUUCUGCAAUGGUUUUGUGUAAUAUCAUUAAGAAUCGAAUGAUUUUUCAAUGAUCAAUAAAGGAUGGGCAGGGAUGGAUUUAAUUUAUUCUCUAUGACAUGAAUGAUACAUUAAACCAUGUAAAAUAGACAUGCGCAUUCUUUUCUUUGUUUUGUAAUCAAUCGAAUACCCACCAGAAAUAUUAGCCAAUCACAGUGCAGGCUUGUAUAGCGAACACAUAGGUAGCUGAUUCUUUACAGGUGAUCUGAAUUAUGGAACGCCAAACUAACAUAAAAUCAAUUCACUGCCAAUGGGUCCCGUCAAUUAAAUGAAUAUUUGUAAAUUUGUCGUUCCAUACAGCUAGAGACGCCGAUUCGAACAACCCAGUCGCCUGGUAACCGUGGUGAGUACUUUUCAGAUACAAACUUUAGAAAGCAAACAUCCCCCAACCGUCCUUCAAUUUGAAAUUGAGCGGCCAAGUGAAAGCAUCUAUUCACAUUAGCCAAAUAUAGGAUACGUCUCUCAUCUCAAACAGACAUAUCUCCUGUUAUCGGUCGGACGAUGGCGGCGUGGUAGUUCUUCUUUGGAUUGCACUAAAGGAGACAAGAAGUUUAUGGUAUCAUAGAGAGGUCCACACACGUUAUUAUUUAUCUUAUACUGGGUCUGUCUUUAUAUUCUGGCUGGUUGAUGUGUAUAAGCUUGGCUUGUGCACCAGAUUCCUUUGUAAAUAUCAUGUGAAGUUUUCCAUGAUGUAUUAAUAGGUUUUUUUUGGUUGAAAGUUGUAGACAUGGGGAGUAAUUAAAUUGGGAUAUAUUAAUAUGGCAUCAAUCAACUAAUCCCACAUCUCCUUUAGGCAACUAAUAUUUUCUUUUUGGGGUUCUUCUUUUGUUUGUUUUUUUUUGCAUGUUUUUCACUGCAUUUGCUUAAGUAAGGGGUGCUAUAUUUAAUAUAUUCUGAUAUUUGGUUUAUCUUAGAUUUUUAAUGCCCUUAAUGUAUAUUGCAAAUUUCUCAUGAGAGUCCAGUAAAGAUAAUCUUGUAUAACGUGUUUCUAUGAUAAACUUAGAUGUAUUGUUGAUAGUGGGGUCUAGAGAGUUUACGGAUACAGGAUCGUGGGGAUAUGUUUGUAAGGGACGUAUGAAGACGGUGAUAGUUGUGGAUGAGCAGGACACACAGCAUAUUAUACAUGGAGGUAUUAUUGUACAGACAAUUGUUAUGCAAUCGAUGAGGACCACAACAAUGUUAAGACGCCGAAUGAUCAAUAUGACGAUUACCACUGGUAUAGGAGAACAGACAGGCUGUGAUUUGGAUGGAUGUCAAGCGGCAGUUUAUGGUACCGGGAACUCGACUGGGAAAUGGAAGUUGCAUAGGGAAAUUCUAGAUUGGCAAUAACAGGUUUAUGUUUUUUCUGUAUGUAUUGUAUAUAUACUAUUCAAAAAAAGUAGGGGAUAUUUGAUUUUUAAG